UACGGGGGGGGCAAGCGUUGUUCGGAAUUACUGGGCGUAAAGCGUGCGCAGGCGGUUCGCCAAGUCAGGUGUGAAAUCCCCGGGCUUAACCUGGGAAUUGCGCUUGAGACUAGCGGGCUUGAGUGCGGCAGAGGGGGGUGGAAUUCCACGUGUAGCAGUGAAAUGCGUAGAGAUGUGGAGGAACACCGAUGGCGAAGGCAGCCCCCUGGGUCAACACUGACGCUCAUGCACGAAAGCGUGGGGAGCAAACAGG
rnacentral:rRNA from 1 species